GCUGGCGUGGCGGAACGGCAGACGCAGCGGACUUAAAAUCCGCGGGGGCGGAAGCCCCGUGAGGGUUCGAGUCCCUCCUCCAGCA
rnacentral:tRNA from 1 species